rnacentral:rRNA from 1 species
UUUUCACUCCGGUAUUCCCGGUUCUUUUCACCUUUCCCUCACGGUACUCGUUCACUAUCGGUGUCUCAGGAGUAUGUAGCCUUAGCGGAUGGUGCCGCUCGCUUCAGACGGGGUUUCUCCGGCCCCGCCCUACUCAGGGUACCGCUACCGUGAAUCAGAAUUGUCGCUUACCGGGCUCUCACCGUCUAUGGCCUGCUUUCCCAAGCAGUUCAGCUAACUCGAUUCAAUCAGAUGUCGCGGCCCUACAACCCCAAAGUGGCCGUAACCACCUUGGUUUGGGCUCCUCCCCGUUCGCUCGCCACUACUUGGGGAAUCAUUGUUAUUUUCUUUUCCUGCAGGGAACUGAAACAUCUAAGUACC